ACGAACGCUGGCGGCGUGCCUAAUACAUGCAAGUCGAACGCUUCUUUUUCCACCGGAGCUUGCUCCACCGGAAAAAGAAGAGUGGCGAACGGGUGAGUAACACGUGGGUAACCUGCCCAUCAGAAGGGGAUAACACUUGGAAACAGGUGCUAAUACCGUAUAACAAUCAAAACCGCAUGGUUUUGAUUUGAAAGGCGCUUUCGGGUGUCGCUGAUGGAUGGACCCGCGGUGCAUUAGCUAGUUGGUGAGGUAACGGCUCACCAAGGCCACGAUGCAUAGCCGACCUGAGAGGGUGAUCGGCCACAUUGGGACUGAGACACGGCCCAAACUCCUACGGGAGGCAGCAGUAGGGAAUCUUCGGCAAUGGACGAAAGUCUGACCGAGCAACGCCGCGUGAGUGAAGAAGGUUUUCGGAUCGUAAAACUCUGUUGUUAGAGAAGAACAAGGAUGAGAGUAACUGUUCAUCCCUUGACGGUAUCUAACCAGAAAGCCACGGCUAACUACGUGCCAGCAGCCGCGGUAAUACGUAGGUGGCAAGCGUUGUCCGGAUUUAUUGGGCGUAAAGCGAGCGCAGGCGGUUUCUUAAGUCUGAUGUGAAAGCCCCCGGCUCAACCGGGGAGGGUCAUUGGAAACUGGGAGACUUGAGUGCAGAAGAGGAGAGUGGAAUUCCAUGUGUAGCGGUGAAAUGCGUAGAUAUAUGGAGGAACACCAGUGGCGAAGGCGGCUCUCUGGUCUGUAACUGACGCUGAGGCUCGAAAGCGUGGGGAGCAAACAGGAUUAGAUACCCUGGUAGUCCACGCCGUAAACGAUGAGUGCUAAGUGUUGGAGGGUUUCCGCCCUUCAGUGCUGCAGCUAACGCAUUAAGCACUCCGCC
rnacentral:rRNA from 1 species